rfam:Oryza meridionalis cultivar OR44 (W2112) chromosome 3, whole genome shotgun sequence.
AACUGGAGGGAUUAUAUGUUUAUGUGUGCAAUGUUUGACCGUCCGUCUUAUUUGCUCUUUUUAUGAAUUACUAGUAUUUUUGUUGUUAUUAGAUGAUAAGAUAUAAAUAGUACUUUAUGCAUGACUUGUUUUUUAAAAAUUUUCAGAUAAGACGGAUGGUCAAAAGUUAGAUAUAGAAACCCACCAAUAAACUUAUU